rnacentral:lncRNA from 1 species
UACGGGCCCGGCUGGCGCCGUACUGCCCGCCGACGUGCUGCAUUAUUCAUGAGACGCGGCCAGCCGCGCCACGCUACGGGCCGAAGGCGGCACGCAGUCACCGCCCCUGUUUUCUGCAUAUUCAUAAGGAUGGCUGGCCCCACCUCUCAAGGCCCCAGAGGCGUCCACUUCCGUGCCCGGACUCCGCCCCGACACGCGCACUCCUUCAGGCCCCGCCUCAGUCUCUCCAAGUCUUCCGUCUUUGGCUUCUGUGGAGAGUCCCAGCGAGGGCGUGGAGGGGACCGGGCUGCGCAAAACACGUGGGGGCGCGGAAGCGGAGGCUGGCUGGAUGGGGUUUUAAGAGCCCUCAUGGCUCCAGCGGAGGUACCAGGGAAGGCCUUGAUUGGGUCACUGUGAGUCACAUGAUCGCCCAGGAGCCAAUCACUGUGGCCAGGCCGCUGGACGGCUCUGAUUGGUCAGGCCUGAGUUGCGGAUCCACUCCUGAAGGCUGGUGGGGCACCAGCCCCAUCUGUGUGGUAAGGAGUAAAGGUGAGUUCUACCAGGAGGCCUUGAAUGCCAGGGCAUUCAAAGACACUGAUGAUGCUACACUGGGUGACCCCAACCAGCACUCAAGUUGUCCUUUAGGGAAGAUGUGAGAUGGAGACGUGCAAAGGUCACCCUGUUGAAGUGCUCAGGAGACGUGAGCUUCCACACACAAAGCUCAUUCUUCCGUGUUCACUUCCAAUUCAUGGCCCACUGCAAGUCGCACCCCUUGAGGGCAAGGGCUAGCCUGAGUCAUCACUCAAGACAGGGUACACAGAAGGCACUGGUAUACAUUUUGAUAAGAAAGAAAAUCC